GAAGAGCUUGCUCUUCGAUUCAGCGGCGGACGGGUGAGUAAUGCCUAGGAAUCUGCCUGGUAGUGGGGGACAACGUUUCGAAAGGAACGCUAAUACCGCAUACGUCCUACGGGAGAAAGCAGGGGACCUUCGGGCCUUGCGCUAUCAGAUGAGCCUAGGUCGGAUUAGCUAGUUGGUGAGGUAAUGGCUCACCAAGGCGACGAUCCGUAACUGGUCUGAGAGGAUGAUCAGUCACACUGGAACUGAGACACGGUCCAGACUCCUACGGGAGGCAGCAGUGGGGAAUAUUGGACAAUGGGCGAAAGCCUGAUCCAGCCAUGCCGCGUGUGUGAAGAAGGUCUUCGGAUUGUAAAGCACUUUAAGUUGGGAGGAAGGGCAUUAACCUAAUACGUUGGUGUCUUGACGUUACCGACAGAAUAAGCACCGGCUAACUCUGUGCCAGCAGCCGCGGUAAUACAGAGGGUGCAAGCGUUAAUCGGAAUUACUGGGCGUAAAGCGCGCGUAGGUGGUUCGUUAAGUUGAAUGUGAAAUCCCCGGGCUCAACCUGGGAACUGCAUCCAAAACUGGCGAGCUAGAGUAUGGUAGGGGGUGGUGGAAUUUCCUGUGUAGCGGUGAAAUGCGUAGAUA
rnacentral:rRNA from 1 species